rnacentral:rRNA from 1 species
UACGGGGGGGGCAAGCGUUGUUCGGAAUUACUGGGCGUAAAGGGCUCGUAGGCGGCCAACUAAGUCGGAUGUGAAAUCCCCAGGCUCAACCUGGGAACUGCAUCCGAUACUGGAUGGCUUGAAUUCGGGAGAGGGAUGCAGAAUUCCAGGUGUAGCGGUGAAAUGCGUAGAUAUCUGGAGGAAUACCGGUGGCGAAGGCGGCAUCCUGGACCGACAUUGACGCUGAGGAGCGAGAGCUAGGGGAGCAAACGGG